rnacentral:lncRNA from 1 species
ACCUCUCUGACUUCAUCAAGGGAGAAGGGUUCCAACAGAAAAGUAUUAUCCUCUAUCGAAAGAGAAUGAAACAGAACCAUAUUGAGAUUUGGUCUAUUCUCCCAACUCUCCCUAAAAUUGUUCUCAAAGUAAUUCUUCACAAAACCCUUGACUUCCUCUACUCCUUGAACCCAUUGAUCACCAUCUCUUAAUGCCACUAAUUGAUUCAUU